rnacentral:rRNA from 1 species
GACGAACGCUGGCGGCGUGCUUAACACAUGCAAGUCGAGCGGUAAGGCCCUUUCGGGGGUACACGAGCGGCGAACGGUGAGUAACACGUGGGUGACCUGCCCUUAGCUCUGGGAUAAGCCUGGGGAAACUGGGUCUAAUACCGGAUAUGACUCCAUAACGCAUGUUGUGGGGUGGAAAGCCUUGUGCGGCUAGGGAUGGGCCCGCGGCCUAUCAGCUUGUUGGUGGGUGAUGGCCACCAAGGCGACGACGGGUAGCCGGCCUGAGAGGGCGACCGGCCACACUGGGACUGAGACACGGCCCAGACUCCUACGGGAGGCAGCAGGUGGGGAAUCUUGCGCAAGUGGGCGAAAGCCUGACGCAGCGACGCCGCGGU